rnacentral:rRNA from 1 species
UGGCAUCGAUGAAGAACGCAGCGAAAUGCGAUAAGUAAUGUGAAUUGCAGAAUUCAGUGAAUCAUCGAAUCUUUGAACGCACAUUGCGCCCGCCAGUAUUCUGGCGGGCAUGCCUGUUCGAGCGUCAUUUCAACCAUCAAGCCCCGGGCUUGUGUUGG